GUCCCUCUUUCAUAAUUGCAGAGUUGAUACAAGGCAAUUCAGCAGCACAUUCCCCCAUUAAUGAUUGAAAGACCUUGGUGAAUUCCUGAUCCACAGAUAAAGGAUCAGUUAGUUUCAAACCUGAUUCUGUAUAAAUGGAUGUGAUGUUGUUUUGUCCAGUUCUGAUCCUCCAUUGAGCAUGGAAAUACUUGGUGUUAGCAUCCCCACUCUCAAUGCAUAUAAAUGGAUGUGAUGUUGUUUUGUCCAGUUCUUAUCCUCCAUUGAGCAUGGAAAUACUCGGUGUUAGCAUCCCCACUCUCAAUGCAGCAUGCUUUGGACUUUUGCCUUAGAAUUUUUUCCUCCACAGAACUCCACUUCUCAAUUUCCCCAAUUGCUGUUUUUUCCUCAGUAAGCAGUGACUGUGCUAGUGGGUUAUUCUACAGUUGAUCUUGAAUAAUACUCAACUUCUCUCUUUCCUGAAUUAUUUUUUGCUUGUAGGAUGCCAUGUGGGCAUUGAUCACCUUCAAGUGCUGUUUCAUGUCCUUCAGUUUUUGCCAUAGCUGCUGCAUAGGUGUUGUUCCAUAGUCCUGUCUCCAAACCUGCUGUAAAAUGUCAUGAAACUGAGGUUGUUCCAUGACAGCAAGAUAUAGCCUGAAAGGUUUUGGGUGCAAAGGUUUAUGAUCUCCAAAUUUUAUCAGUAUAAGGGAGUGAUCAGAGACUGAGGGGUUCAUAAAAUCAGCUUCCAAAUGUCCAUACUGGAAAUUUUAUCAGGAUAGGGGAAUGGUCAGAUACUGAGGGGUUCAUAAAGUCAGCUUCCAAAUGCCCAAACUUUUGCAGCCAUUGAGAAUUUCCCAAAGCCCAAUCAAUUUUACUAUAUACUCUUGAGGAAGAGUCUUGCUUAUUGGUCCAUGUGUUAAAAAAGAUGUAGGAUCAUACAACUAUAAACAUGCUUGUAAAGAGCCAAAAACUAAAUUGACCUGCUACAGUAAAAAGGAAAAUCCUACAGAAUUGGUUGAGUAAAAUUUUAGUUUCUGGCAUAUAAUUAUUCAAAAUCAUUGCUAACAUUUGAUGGGCUGAAGGAUUCUUCAAUUAAUAGGCCCAAUAGUUAAUUUCUGACUCAAAUUUGUCUUCAUUAUUUUAGGCCCAAUUUGCAUAGAACCUGGGUCCAUUUGGUUUGUAAUAAGUCUUUUGACUAUAUACAUUGGCGGAUUUUUCUAGAAGGUAACAGAAUAACACAAUAGAAAAAUAUUUCCUUUUCUAUCUCUUCUCUAUCGUUUUUAGGGUUUCUCUUCAUUUUGAUUUCUCUGAUUGACUCCGAUAAUAGAGUCUAACAUGAAAUCAGAGCGGUUCAAUAGAUCCGCCUCACUUGGAUUUGAUUUCUCUGAUUGACUCCGAUAAUAAAGUCUAACAUGAUAUUAGAGCAGUUCAAUAGAUCCGCCUCACUUGGAGCUUUCGUCCGAUGGUAAUUAAGCUUGGUUUGACGGUUUCGCUCAGAUCGAAGAAUCUUCUAAAAAAUUUCUAAGUUCUUUGUCUCCUUUCUGAUAUUAGAAGACCUUAGCUUCUUCAUGUGUGCGAAGAAGGAGGGUAAAGGUUUUGUUCUCUUAAUUUCAUGUGAAAAUUUAGGUGAAAUUAGGAUAUUUUGCAAUACUUGUUAAAAUUUGAGAUCUAGAUUAGUUCUGUGGUUGUUUACAAAUUGUUAGUAUAGGAAUUUUAUUCCGUGUGUGAAUAUGGGAACCUCCUCAUCUUCUAUUGAUGGUAAAAAAUUUCUAAGUUCUUUGUCUCCUUUAUGAUAUUAGAAGACCUUAGCUUCUUCAGGUGUGCGAAGAAAGAGGGUAAAGGUUUUGUUCUCUUAAUUUCAUGUGAAAAUUUAGGUGAAAUUAGGAUAUUUUGCAAUACUUGUUAAAAUUUGAGAUCUAGAUUAGUUCUGUGGUUGUUUACAAAUUGUUAGUAUAGGAAUUUUAUUCCGUGUGUGAAUAUGGGAACCUCCUCAUCUUCUAUUGAUGGCUUUGCUGAGUUCACUUUUGACUCAUCUCACAUGUUAUAUGUCCAUCCCUCUGAUAGGCCUGGAGUCAAUUAGUUGACAUACCGUUCAAUGGAACUGGUUUUGUGCAUUGACACAGUAGUAUGCUUACUUCCUUAUCUGCCAAAAAUAAAUUAGGAAUAAUGACUGAUAAAGUACCUCAACCUCCACCUAACUUUCCUUAUUAUUACUUCUGGGAAAGAUGUAAUGAUAUGGUGAAAACUUGGAUCACCAAUUCUUUGACUAUGGAGAUAGCUAGCCUCCACCUAAUUUUCCUUAUUAUUACUUCUGGAAAAGAUGUAAUGAUAUGGUGAAAGCUUGGAUCACCAAUUCUUUGACUAUGGAGAUAGCAGUAAGUGUUAUGUGUCCCACACUGCUAGGGAAGUGUGAAGUGACAUAAAUGAGAGGUUUGGACAAUCGAAUGGUUCUAGAUACAUUCAAAUCCAAAGAGAAAUUAGUUCUACCUCCCAAGGAUCUUCUGAUAUUGCUACUUAUUUUACUAGAACGAGAUCCUUGUGGGAUGAAUUGAACUCUUCUUAUGUUGGUCCCACCUGCUCUUGUGGAGCAUUACCCAAAUUUAUUGAAGACCAAAACCUUUUCCAAUUUGUGAGUGGUCUAAAUGAGUCCUAUUCCACAGUUAAGAGUAUCAUUAUGCUUAUGUCUCCACUUCCAUCUAUUAGCAAAGCAUACUUUUUACUUCAACGUGAUGAAAGCCAAAAGGAAAACCAACCUCCAAAUCUGGGGUUUUCUGGUGAUUCAGCUUCCUUCUCUGCUAUUUCUUCCAACUUCAACACUUCUGGAAAAUAUCAACAUAGUGCAAAGCCCUUCAAUCAAAGAAUCAAUUUUAAUCAAGCUAAGAAGUUUUCUUCUAUGUCUUUCAGGUACUGCAAGAAGCAUGAGCACACAGUAGGCAAAUGUUAUAAGCUUCAUUGUUUUUCAACUAAUUUCAAAUUCACCAAGAACAAAAGAUCUGCUUCUGCUUUUUGUUCACAAAUGGAAGAUAAUUCUGCCCAAUGGUUACCUCCAAAUGAAACCACAACUUAUGGCUUCAGCAAAGAGCAGAAUCAACACCUCAUGUCCCUGUUUCAACAGGCUCACAUAUCUACCAGCAAUCAGCAUUCCACUUUUGGUGACAAUAUUGCUUUUGCCAACUUUGCAUGUGUGUAUCACAUGCCUAUAGAACAAUUAACUGUAGUUAAUUCUGAAGUUCAAUGUUUGUCUGCUCAGUUAGGAAAGAUACCUUGGAUUUGGCCAUUUGGGUUUAACAAAUCACAUGACCUCCAAUAAACAAUUUUUACACAAUCUACAACCUUUACCUAAGGCUUAACAUUGGAUUUGGCUGCUAGUGUUUUGAAUCCUGCAGCACCUGGGAAUGGUAAUCCCAUAAGUGUUACUAAUCCUAAAUCGAAAAGGACUGGAGGUGAUGAAUUAAUGCUUGUGAAGGGUCAGGAUAAACCUACACGUGAUGUUCCUGCUUCUAUAGCCUAGAGAGAAUUUACAAUGCUGUAAAUCCAGUUGUACAAGCUAGGCAGAUGUGUGACAGUCAUGACAAAGCUGGACAAACUCCUACAGCAGCGCGAUAUGUUGGUGUUAUUGAAGGGAGUAACGAUGAUCAGAUUGAGAGGAAAGCAGUUGGACAAACUCCUAUGGCUAAAGGUGUUGGGCAUGUACUUGAUACUUCAAAGAAAACAGCUACAAAUGCAAGGACUGGACAUGUUUGUGAUACUUUGGGCAAAUGUGUUACAACUAAAGAUUAUGUGGUUGCUGGUGUUACUACAUGUUCUGUUGCUGGACAAAAAUCUACAAAAGUUGGGACAGUUAUAUCAAUAUUACUAAUUUCAUUAGGAGCAAUAUACAUUCUGAGAGACUUCCUAGGCUUGGCACUUAUAUAAUAGAAAUUUGGUACUACUGCUUGGAAGCAUAUAGUUAUCGCUAAAGAGCUCCAAUUGGCAUGAUUGUUGAAAAGAGCCGUAUAAUAUUAGUGGUUAAACAAUAUAAAAUGCAUCUAAAGCUUCCAAGUUCUCUUUCAGUAGCUUUUCGAGCACCUUCAAUGGGAAUUUUACAAUGAAAGUUUUUUCAAAAGGGAAAUUGAACGUCUGAAAUCCAGCUUGGUGCUUUGACAACUUAGACAUACAAAUUGCACAACUUCUUGUAAUUUUCUACUGAAAGAACGAAAGGUACUUGUGCAUUCCACAAAUUGGAAUUCCCAAACUACUAGUUCCAAGACAUGGGGAUAAGAAGGGUAGAGGAUUGGUGGGAGAAAACAUUUUUUAAGAUGCAAAGUUAUACUACCAAAAUGGAGAGUUUACUGUAUUUUGCUUAUUUAGAUACUUUAUGAUUCUCUUUAUCUAUUUUCUGCGGGAGUCACUAAUGCUUUUUGUUUUUGUUUUGUUUUAUAGCUGUUUUUCCUUUUGUCCUAUGCGCCGAGGGUCGAUUGGAAACAGCCUCCCUGCCCUUUCGGGUAGGGGUAAGGCUUGUCUACAUAUUACCUUAGAUACUUUAUGAUUCUCUUUAUCUAGCUUGUAUCACAUACUUUGGUAUCUUCUUGGGUUUCUAUAUCUCUCCCUCUGGAUAGUUACUGCCUUUUUGCCUUUCAAUUUUGGUUUAAAAUAUCCAUUUGCAUUUGCUUAUAAAGUAAGUAACCUCGGGAAUGUGCAUGGCGGUUCAAGCAUUUUUACCUUCUGAAUCUCAGGGGCUCCUAAGUAUUAUGGCAGGAUUUAUUCUCAUAUCUCCAGUAAUAACCUCGUUUACAUAGUAUUGUCUACUUGUAUCUACAUUCGUACUCAUAUGUUCGUCUUUCCUUGUAUACUUGUAUUUGCUUUUGUCUACCUAUAUGAAGUAGCUUUUCGAACAUCGUCAAAAUUCCCUGAAUGCUUACUUCCAUAUGACUUCAGAAAAGAUUUCUGAAGUAUGGUGGAGAAUUUGAAAUGCUUUUAUAGUAAAAGCUACAAUCAUUCUUUGAUUAUUCAGAUGUGAAGUGAUCUUAAGGCACAAAUGUUGAUUUAACAUGCCCUGCAAUAUGAAGGAUACUCUAUCUACUUUUGUUGAAAACCUAGCAAUUCUAAGAUGGAAUAUUGAAGGAUACUCUAUCUACUUCUAGCCGAUUGAUCACAACUUCGUUAUUUCUAGCUGCUAAGUUAUAAGCACAAAAUAAUGCAGCUGUUACUGCUUAAGUUGGUGCGCAAACUAGUGACAUAUGGACAGUAGUGAUGAGGUCUCCUACUAAGCGAAAUACUGCUCCAGGUGUGAAGAAUCAACAGCAGAAUAUGAGUGUUCCAACUGCUCGACAAAUCACGUCAAAGGCUAUCACAAGUCCAAAUAGUUUUGAAGCACUAGCCGAAGAGGUGAACUUUGGUGUUAACUCUCUAAUAGUCAAGGAUACUGGAUUGAUGCAGCAAAUUGCACCAUGUAUUAGUACUAGCUAACAUGAUCAGUCAAGUGAAAAUCUUUCUAAGAAGUUGGGUGUUCGACAAAUUGCCUCGGAGAAUAAUUUAAUUGAGAAUGUGGGGAUGAUCAAAUAGUGAGAUAUAGCACUCCUGGGUUGCAUUUUUCCAGCCCAGAAGUUGAAAGAAUUAUCAAAGAAACUCAGAUUUCCAUGAUGAUGAAAGCUAACCCUACGAUCAACCAACAUGUUCUGUGUAUACUCGUUUAUCUCGUUCUUCUAUUCUAUCUAUUCUCAGUUAUUCGAUACUACAAUCUUUUUUUCAAAUUUCACUUUGAAUAGAUACUUUUAGUGUUUAAAUAUAAGUAAAAGAUUAUUCUGAUCCUUUCAGACCUUCACAUGGAAAAACUAACCAGUUGAAAAAUAUUUUUCGAACCUUUUAGCCGCUAAAACUCCUCUUUGUAAUAAGGUAAAAAUCAAUAAUGAGCCUAAUAAUGCACUAAAUCACCAACUAACAAUAGAGUAAAAACAGUAUAUAUAUCAUAAUCAGGCAAAAAGUUUGAACAUGGUUGAAUUCAUAGUUCGACUACUGGCAUUCAACUAAAACAUCAAUACGCAUCAACGACACUCAGAAAUUUUUUGAAAAAUCACAAAAAUAACAGUAGCCUUAGAAAACAGAGGAACCAAUUCAAUAACAAUAGAGUAACAGAUGAGGAAUCAAUUCAAUCAAUCGACUACCAAUCUAACAACAACCAGAUAUCACAAACGACUUAGUAAACACAGAAAAAGCUAUAAUUUCACUAAUCCCAAAAGGCCAUAGUUCGAUGACAAAAAUCAAAAUUAAAGAUUGUUACCUGAUAAGCAAAGUUUUUUGCCGAUUAAGACAGGAAAUUGAAGGAAACGAAUGCUUUAUGCAAUAAUUCUUGAAACCUACACGAAAACAAAAGUUGUAGACGAAUGAGAAGGAGAAGAUUGACAACGAAGAUUAAAAAUAAUCGAGCAGCAUCAACCCAAAUUUAUAUGUAAUGGAUUGAGAACGACCUGCGAUGGCCGGAGACGAGGGAGGCUUUUGCAGCGAUAGUGUUAACGCGUACGUUUUCCUAGCGUCGUUCUUCGUUCUAAUUACAGGGUUUUUCCUAGUAUUGUUUUUCUAAUCGUAGGGUUUUCUAAUAGGAGGGAAUGUAAUUUUUUGUCCCAAAAAAUUUGGAGGGAAGAUUUAUU
rnacentral:lncRNA from 1 species